rnacentral:rRNA from 2 species
GGGGGACGGAGAAGGCUAUGUUGGCCGGGCGACGGUUGUCCCGGUUUAAGCGUGUAGGUGUGUGUUCCAGGUAAAUCCGGUUCACUUUAACACUGAGGCGUGACGACGAGGCACUACGGUGCUGAAGCAACAAAUGCCCUGCUUCCAGGAAAAGCCUCUAAGCAUCAGGUAACAUCAAAUCGUACCCCAAACCGACACAGGUGGUCAGGUAGAGAAUACCAAGGCGCUUGAGAGAACUCGGGUGAAGGAACUAGGCAAAAUGGUGCCGUAACUUCGGGAGAAGGCACGCUGACACGUAGGUGAAGUGAUUUACUCAUGGAGCUGAAGUCAGUCGAAGAUACCAGCUGGCUGCAACUGUUUAUUAAAAACACAGCACUGUGCAAACACGAAAGUGGACGUAUACGGUGUGACGCCUGCCCGGUGCCGGAAGGUUAAUUGAUGGGGUCAGCGCAAGCGAAGCUCCUGAUCGAAGCCCCGGUAAACGGCGGCCGUAACUAUAACGGUCCUAAGGUAGCGAAAUUCCUUGUCGGGUAAGUUCCGACCUGCACGAAUGGCGUAAUGAUGGCCAGGCUGUCUCCACCCGAGACUCAGUGAAAUUGAACUCGCUGUGAAGAUGCAGUGUACCCGCGGCAAGACGGAAAGACCCCGUGAACCUUUACUAUAGCUUGACACUGAACAUUGAGCCUUGAUGUGUAGGAUAGGUGGGAGGCUUUGAAGUGUGGACGCCAGUCUGCAUGGAGCCGACCUUGAAAUACCACCCUUUAAUGUUUGAUGUUCUAACGUGGACCCGUAAUCCGGGUUGCGGACAGUGUCUGGUGGGUAGUUUGACUGGGGCGGUCUCCUCCUAAAGAGUAACGGAGGAGCACGAAGGUUGGCUAAUCCUGGUCGGACAUCAGGAGGUUAGUGCAAUGGCAUAAGCCAGCUUGACUGCGAGCGUGACGGCGCGAGCAGGUGCGAAAGCAGGUCAUAGUGAUCCGGUGGUUCUGAAUGGAAGGGCCAUCGCUCAACGGAUAAAAGGUACUCCGGGGAUAACAGGCUGAUACCGCCCAAGAGUUCAUAUCGACGGCGGUGUUUGGCACCUCGAUGUCGGCUCAUCACAUCCUGGGGCUGAAGUAGGUCCCAAGGGUAUGGCUGUUCGCCAUUUAAAGUGGUACGCGAGCUGGGUUUAGAACGUCGUGAGACAGUUCGGUCCCUAUCUGCCGUGGGCGCUGGAGAACUGAGGGGGGCUGCUCCUAGUACGAGAGGACCGGAGUGGACGCAUCACUGGUGUUCGGGUUGUCAUGCCAAUGGCACUGCCCGGUAGCUAAAUGCGGAAGAGAUAAGUGCUGAAAGCAUCUAAGCACGAAACUUGCCCCGA